rnacentral:rRNA from 1 species
UACAGAGGAGCCAAGCGUUGUCCGGAUUGACUGGGCGUAAAGCGCACGCAGGCGGUCGUGCGCGUGGGGUGUGAAAUCUGGCCGCUUAACGGCCAGGCGCCAUCCCAUACGGCACGACUGGAGCGAUGCAGAGGUCGGUGGAAUUGCCGGUGUAGUGGUGAAAUUCGUAGAUAUUCGGAAGAACACCAGUGGCGAAGGCGACUUACUGGACACAUAUUGACGCUGAGGUGCGAAAGCGUGGGGAGCAAACAGG